rnacentral:tRNA from 1 species
GCCUCCGUAGCUCAGGGGAUAGAGCGUCUGCCUCCGGAGCAGAAGGCCGCAGGUUCGAUUCCUGCCGGGGGCA